rnacentral:rRNA from 1 species
GAGUUUGAUCAUGGACUCAGGAUGAACGCUAGCUACAGGCUUAACNCAUGCAAGUCGAGGGGAAACGAUAUUGGAAGCUUGCUUCCGAUAGGCGUCGACCGGCGCACGGGUGAGUAACGCGUAUCCAACCUGCCCACCACUUGGGGAUAACCUUGCGAAAGUAAGACUAAUACCCAAUGAUAUCUCUAGAAGACAUCUGAAAGAGAUUAAAGAUUUAUCGGUGAUGGAUGGGGAUGCGUCUGAUUAGCUUGUUGGCGGGGUAACGGCCCACCAAGGCAACGAUCAGUAGGGGUUCUGAGAGGAAGGUCCCCCACAUUGGAACUGAGACACGGUCCAAACUCCUACGGGAGGCAGCA